rnacentral:lncRNA from 1 species
GUACAGUAACAUGCUAUACAUGAGGUCAGAGGCUGUACAGUAACACGCUAUACAUGAGGUCAGAGGUCAGAGGCUGUACAGUAACAUGCUAUACAUGAGGUCAGAGGUCAGAGGCUGUACAGUAACACGCUAUACAUGAGGUCAGAGGCUGUACAGUAACACGCUAUACAUGAGGUCAGAGGCUGUACAGUAACACGCUAUACAUGAGGUCAGCGGCUGUACAGUAACACGCUAUACAUGAGGUCAGAGGUCAGUGGCUGUACAGUAACAUGCUAUACAUGAGGUCAGAGGUCAGAGGCUGUACAGUAACAUGCUAUACAUGAGGUCAGAGGCUGUACAGUAACAUGCUAUACAUGAGGUCAGAGGUCAGAGGCUGUACAGUAACACGCUAUACAUGAGGUCAGAGGUCAGAGGCUGUACAGUAACAUGCUAUACAUGAGGUCAGAGGCUGUACAGUAACAUGCUAUACAUGAGGUCAGAGGUCAGAGGCUGUACAGUAACAUGCUAUACAUGAGGUCAGAGGUCAGAGGCUGUAC